AUAUAAAUAGUUAAUUUAAUAACAUUAAUUUGUCAAAUUAAAAUAUAU
rnacentral:tRNA from 1 species